CCUACGGGUGGCUGCAGUAGGGAAUAUUGCUCAAUGGGGGAAACCCUGAAGCAGCAACGCCGCGUGGAGGAUGAAGGUUUUCGGAUUGUAAACUUCUGUUGUUAGAGAAGAUAAUGUCCUUAUCUAUCUAAUAACCACCUGCUAACUACGUGCCAGCAGCCGCGGUAAUACGGAGGGUGCAAGCGUUAAUCGGAAUCACUGGGCGUAAAGAGCGCGUAGGCGGGUUAGCAAGUCAGAUGUGAAAUCCUAUGGCUUAACCAUAGAACUGCAUUUGAAACUGGUAUGCUAGAGGAUGGGAGAGGUAGGUGGAAUGCUGGGUGUAGGGGUAAAAUGCGUAGAGAUGAAGAGGAAUAC
rnacentral:rRNA from 1 species